rnacentral:tRNA from 1 species
GCCGCCGUGGCUCAGUAGGUAGAGCGACAGCCUGUUAAUUCGUGACGUACGGCUAAAGGUUCGAGCCCUCCCGGCGGCG